CAAGGAAGGCAGCAGGCGCGCAAAUUACCCACUCCCGGCACGGGGAGGUAGUGACGAAAAAUAACGAUACGGGACUCAUCCGAGGCCCCGUAAUCGGAAUGAGAACACUUUAAAUCCUUUAACGAGGAUCAAUUGGAGGGCAAGUCUGGUGCCAGCAGCCGCGGUAAUUCCAGCUCCAAUAGCGUAUAUUAAAGUUGUUGCGGUUAAAAAGCUCGUAGUCGAAUCUGUGUCUUGCGCCGUCGGUUCAUCGCUCGCGGUGUCAACUGGCGCGUCGCAGGACGUCCUGCCGGACGGACUUAGCCACGGCGUCGUCCUCCUCUCGCGUCUCGCGCACAUUUCGUCCCGUCUAGCACGCCUUGCUCGCGUCGUUUCCUUGCGGAACGCGCGGGUAUUGCGCGUGUGGCGGGGUCAAACGGUGUGUGUCGUCCGAGCACGAGUGCGUCGACGUUCGGGGCGGUCCACCUAAUUGAAACAAUCCCACCGCGGUGCUCUUCGUUGAGUGUCGAGGUGGGCCGGCACUUUUACUUUGAACAAAUUAGAGUGCUCAAAGCAGGCUAAAAACUCUGCCUGAAUACUGCGUGCAUGGAAUAAUGGAACAGGACCUCGGUUCUAUUUUGUUGGUUUUCGGAACUCCGAGGUAAUGAUCAAUAGAGACGGAUGGGGGCAUUCGUAUUGCGACGUUAGAGGUGAAAUUCUUGGAUCGUCGCAAGACGGACUUAAGCGAAAGCAUUUGCCAAAAACGCUUUCAUUGAUCAAGAACGAAAGUUAGAGGUUCGAAGGCGAUCAGAUACCGCCCUAGUUCUAACCAUAAACGAUGCCAGCUAGCGAUCCGUCGACGUUCCUCCGAUGACACGACGGGCAGCUUCCGGAAACCAAAGCUUUUGGGUUCCGGGGAGU
rnacentral:rRNA from 1 species